GUGAAUGUGAACUGUUUCUGAUCCUCUUUUCUAAUUGGAAUGGAAAAGACCACAGGCAAUGAAUUACUGCUGGCCACAUACCUAAGGCCUCGUGAACCUGCUCCGGCAAGGACUCCACAUCAGGCACAGCAGCUGCCAGCAGGGCUCCCCCUUGGUUAAGCCGUGGCGGUCUACGGUCUUCCUCCAGGAUCCGUCCAAUUUCUGCAGAGGUCAGACUGAGGGGACCUGCCGGAGUCAAUGGCUGGAAGCAGCCUGAGGGCCUCAGUGCAAACAGCGAUGGCCAUGAUCCAGGCACAGCAGCAGGGACCAGUCUGAAAUCUGAGAGGCGCGUUUGCACGGCCACCACCAAAGGUCUGGGGGCUUAUCUCUUUUGGAGUUCUGGACCCAAAGGAACAAAGAUGUCAGCAUUUUCUACCUCAGGCCAGGCUGGGCGCUGUUCUGCUCCCGAGGAGUCUCUGGGUAAGAUGCAGCACAGACCCAGAGAGCUCGCAACCAAAAGAAGAGACAGACUAUGGUGCACAGAAUAACGUCCCCCACCCCAGCCUCCUGAAGAUGUCCACGUCCUGAUGCCCAGAAUCUGUGAACAUGCCGCCUGACGUGCAAAGGAGAAUUAAGGCUGCUAAUCAGCUGACCUCAAGAGGUUACCCUGGAUGGCCCAGCGCCAUCACAAGGGUUCUUAGAAGUGGA
rnacentral:lncRNA from 1 species